CGACGGAAGCGGCUCGCGUCUGUCAGUGAUAUUUCGCCUUUAAAGGCGCAUUAAAACAGCGGCUGAAGUGCAGACAGAACCCGAGAAGAGCAGCAACAGAACUAGCACAACAAUCUCAUCUUCAUUUCUGACAGAGACAUAAAGACAGGAACGCGCGCGUCAGGGUUCUCAGCCAGCUGUGCGUCCGGACAGAAGACUCGACGCUGCUCUCAUAUGCAGUCCGACUGGAUCUUUAUGAAGCUUUCAAGGCCUUUUGAUUGAUCGGUUGCUCCAUGGGGAUUCUCCGGUGCUUUCCGUCUGGUUUCUCCUGCUCUUCACCCCUCGGUCUGCCCUCCACCCUCUACAACACCUCCUCCAUACAAAUCAUGAAACUGGUAUUAACUGAAUGGCAAUUGAUAUGGAUUUUUACUGUUUCCAGUAGACAGUAAACAAACUUGCACCACACUCACACACACCAUUACAUGCACGUCCACCCACACACACACACACCAUUACAUGCACGUCCACCCACACACACACACACACAUACACACACACACACACACAUACACACACACACUCACACACAUCACGUCAGUGGGAGUGACCUCAUGGUAGAGUCAUAUCCUCCCCAACUGUCCGAACCAAAUCCCCCAACACGGUCCGUCCCAGAGCUCCUGCAAGCGGCCUUCAUCAAACGGCACAUUUCGGGAUGUUUUACGCUCCUUGAGUCCGAUCCACGACAGAUUUCCUUUACAGAAGGACGUCCACGAGAAGCGGUGCGUUGCUGUUGGCUUUAUUUUUCCUAGAUAUUUAUUUAGUGAGUUAUUUGCGUGGAGCCACACGUGACCUCUGCUCCGAGUGCAUGCGGACGACGAUGGCCCCACAGAACACCGAGGCCGACGCUGUGCAGAUGCAGGCCGCCGUGGUGACACCUGUGGAGAAACGGGCUGGAGGAGGCGGGGCUAAUGGAGUGGGCGGGGCUGGAGGGCGGGAUUUGGAGAGUCGGGAGGAGUCGGUCAGCGAGGGAUCUAUCGACCGCAUCCCUCUGCGUCAGUGGGUCAUGCACGGCGCUGUCAUGUUCGGACGAGAGUUCUGCUACGCCAUGGAGACGGCGCUGGUCACACCUGUACUGCUGCAGAUAGGUGAGACAACUGACCACUAACUAUUACAUUAUAAUAAACCAGAAUCUAAAAUAUGA